rnacentral:rRNA from 1 species
GACGAACGCUGGCGGCGUGCUUAACACAUGCAAGUCGAACGGAAAGGCCUGCUUUCCCUUGUGGAUUGCGGGUACUCGAGUGGCGAACGGGUGAGUAACACGUGAGUGAUCUGCCCCCAACUUGGGUAUAAGCCUGGGAAACUGGGUCUAAUUCCCGAUAGGACUGCAGGGUGGUGCCUGUGGUGGAAAACGAUUUUCUAGUGGUUGGGGAUGAGCUCGCGGCCUAUCAGCUUGUUGGUGGGGUAAUGGCCUACCAAGGCGGCGACGGGUAGCCGGCCUGAGAGGGUGGACGGGCACAUUGGGACUGAGAUACGGCCCAGACUCCUACGGGAGGCAGCAGUGGGGAAUAUUGCACAAUGGGCGGAAGCCUGAUGCAGCGACGCCGCGUGGGGGAUGACGGCCUUCGGGUUGUAAACUCCUUUCGACCGCGAGGAAGCCACCUGGUUGGAAGGGUGGUGACGGUAGUGGUGGAAGAAGCACCGGCUAACUACGUG